rnacentral:rRNA from 1 species
UUUAGAGUUUGAUCCUGGCUCAGAUUGAACGCUGGCGGCAGGCCUAACACAUGCAAGUCGAACGGUAACAGGAAGCAGCUUGCUGCUUUGCUGACGAGUGGCGGACGGGUGAGUAAUGUCUGGGAAACUGCCUGAUGGAGGGGGAUAACUACUGGAAACGGUAGCUAAUACCGCAUAACGUCGCAAGACCAAAGAGGGGGACCUUCGGGCCUCUUGCCAUCGGAUGUGCCCAGAUGGGAUUAGCUAGUAGGUGGGGUAAAGGCUCACCUAGGCGACGAUCCCUAGCUGGUCUGAGAGGAUGACCAGCCACACUGGAACUGAGACACGGUCCAGACUCCUACGGGAGGCAGCAGUGGGGAAUAUUGCACAAUGGGCGCAAGCCUGAUGCAGCCAUGCCGCGUGUAUGAAGAAGGCCUUCGGGUUGUAAAGUACUUUCAGCGGGGAGGAAGGGAGUAAAGUUAAUACCUUGCUCAUG